GUCCACGCCCUAAACGAUGUCAACUGGUUGUUGGGUCUUCACUGACUCAGUAACGAAGCUAACGCGUGAAGUUGACCGCCUGGGGAGUACGCCGCAAGGUUGAACUCAAGGAAUUGACGGGGACCCGCACAAGCGGUGGAUGAUGUGGUUUAAUUCGAUGCAACGCGAAAACCUUAACCAACCUUUGACAUGUACGGAAUUCGCCAGAGAUGGCUUAGUGCUCGAAAGAGAACCGUAACACAGGUGCUGCAUGGCUGUCGU
rnacentral:rRNA from 1 species